UCAAAGUUCCUCUGUAUCAUUGGGGCAUCCAUCUUCAGCUUACAGGUCCAUAGUAUCUGGCAGACUUUUCCAUGAAGCAGGAAAUUUGAAACACUGUUUCGCCUAUAUUGCAGAGUUUAUCAGUUUUCUUCUGUGUGCUGCAGAAUGUCUGGUAGUUUCUUCCAUGAAGCAGGAAGCCUGAAAGAACUUCUUUAGGAUGCAACCUGAUGAUAACCACCAUGCAACCAUGCACCUGCUGCUGUCACCUGCUGGGGGAUCUCUCACUGGAGCUGGCCUGCAUAGGAAGAACCCUGCUUUCCAAGUCACUGUUAGGGGUUCUCACUCAGGUCCCCUGGCUUGGACAGCCAACACUCCCUUUCUCAAGACGUUUGAUUCUUGAUUUUCUUUUCUUUGCAUGUCAAAAUAGUCUUUGAAAUCAGAAAUAGAAAAGCACUGAAGAGAAACCUUUGCCCGCCCCUUCCCUUUCCUUUCCCUCUCUCCCUCCUCCCCCCUUUCAUUCUCAUGUAGUGUGAAUUCUAAUUGGUCUUAAUAACCAUACCUGGAGUCAGAUGUCAGGGUAAAUACAGAAGGAUCAGAGAAGUAAGGAAGCCAGCCACUAGAGAGACUUUUACCUCUACCGAAUCAUCAGAUCAAAGUGGGCAAGACCCUGUCUCCACAAAUCCUCAGAACAAAUGCACUGAGCUCCUGUCUCCUCUUGCCUAACCAUAUCCUUUCCUGUCUCCACCUCCUUAGUGCUGGGAUUAAAUGUGUGUGACUCCCAAGUACUAGGACUAAAGGUACGAGCCACCACCCCUGGUUGUUUCUCUUUUAGAUUGCUCUGCUGAUCUCAUCUUUCAGUAUUGACCCCUAUAUCCGACUCUGGGUUCUUAUUAUUAAGACCAAUUAAAAAGAGCAAUACAUUCUGGUGAAACAGGUCUUAUUAUGUGGCCCAAGGUGGCUCAGAAUUCUCGGUUCUCCUGCCUCAGCUUACUGUGUGCAGGGACAGUGACCAGCACAAUCAGGCCCAGCUGACAGAGUCUAGGACUCAGCCCUGACAAGCUCAAUAGAGGCCUGAGUCGCAGUAGUUUACCCCAACCUAGUUCCAAGAAAGACCACAAACUGAGACUACCCAGGCACCACCCAGGAACAGACCAUCCAAAGGAAAUUCCUAAGGUACCAGCCAUUGUAGAUAGGAUCAUCUGUCAGCACACACCCAUUGCUUUUCACCAGGACACCCCUAGACGAAUGUCAGCCAAUCAGGGGUCCUAAACCUUAGAGAUCCCUGACCCCCAUCUUUGCUACUAUAAAAACCCAACCCCAACUGUGCUCAGGGCUCUCCGGUCACCCAUCACUCUGACCACUUCAAUACGCUGGACACAGAGGGAGUCCGAGUUUGCAAACUUGUGUAAAAAUAAAGGCUCUUUGCUUUUACAGACAGGACUCGGUCUCCUAGUUGUUUUUGAAGGGAACUCUGUGAUCCCUUCAAGAGCUUUGGCCAUUUCAAACUCAGUGCCUUGCCUUCAAGUCCCAACUCCCUCCCCGCCCCAGGGGUGGUAUGAUUACAGUACGUCAGGAUCAGACAUUUGAACUUCUUAAGACUAAAGAGGCUUAAAUUCAGGAGAGCCUUGGUGACCUCCGAGAAGAUGGUUUGCGAAGUAGACUAAGUGGGCAGGUUUGCUCCAGAGCUGAGGUAAACAACAGUGCGGAGACAAGGGUUCCCAUAGGCUCCCAGUGUGGCGGAGAGGAGGAAGGCGCAGGCAGAGCAGAGAGGGUUCCCAGCCACCGGGCUCAGAGCGCUGGAGUGAAGGGGGCGGGCAUCCGGAGAAGCAGCGUCAGGACGUAACUCAGGUCAAAUUUCUACCUUCUAAGGGUAUUUAUGUCACGAAGAAAAAGCCCUGCAUUCCCUGUUAAGACUGGAAAUUUCCACUCUACCCCACCCCCAUCGAAGGCCGCAAAUUCGCUGUGCAGCCAAGGACAACCUUGAACUUCUGACUCUCCUGCCCCUGCGUAGGAAGUUCUGGGUUCACAGGUAUUUGUCAGCACAGCUUUAAACAGUGCUGGGAACUGAACUCCUCGGUUUUGUGUGUGCCGCCCACUAAGCCACAUCCCCAGCACGUUUUUAUUUACAAUGAAAAAUCGAAGGUUGUUUAACAAGUACUUACUCAAAAAAUAUCCAUAUUUUCUACAUUUUCUUUUUGCUAUAAGAGCGGGCAUAACUCGUAUAACUCGUGAUUUUUAAAAUUUUGUUAUUUUUAGAAGGAACAACAAAUUUUGGUUUUUUUUUUUUACUUUUUUGCCAUGACUUCAUAUUUUUUUCUUUUUUUUUUCGAAAAACUAUAAAUAGACAGAGACAACCUCUGUCACUGAUGUCUCAGCGCGAGGGAGCUGAGCAGACAUUUUUCUGACCACAAGUUCUGGCAAGGGACACUGUGGGGCAGAAAUGUGUAGGCGGCUGUGGAAAGCAGGGAGGGAAGCAGAUGGUGACUUAAUUUGUAUAAAGGGCUGGUAUGGGUAGAAUUUCUUCCCUCCCCCUCCCAAAAAGAUACACUAAAAGAGUGCUCCCACCAAUACCUCCAAAGGUGGCCUUACUUAGAGAUAUUAAUGUCAGGUCUCAAACCCAGGACACACGCUGUAUGCCAGGUUCUCCCAGCAGCACUCAGACCCUACCUGUUACAGGGUAUGCCUGGCAAAUCCUGCCCCCUAUUCUAAUCGUGGUGAUUGUGUUUGAAUGAACUCUUUGGGUGGGGGGGUCUUCGCCUAUUAAGACAUUCUUUUAUAAAGGGAAAUUAAGAGAAACAACAGCAACAAUCAGCCAUUUCACAAUGUCCAGGCUGGACCACCAACUGCUGGAAUGCGAGAGGUCCGUCGACGGAAGCCUCUUGAGUUGCUGGCAUUUAGAGGCAUGUACCACCAUGAAGGGCUUUAAAACCGGGAGAGUCAGUUACUGGUGGCCACACAAAGAAGGGACUGUGCCUGGUAAUAAAUGAUUGUGGAUGAAAAUUCCUGGAAGGAAGCCGCCGCACCGGUUUGCCCAUAUGCUGGUCGGAACUACAAGGACUGUGGAGAGGUUAGGGCCUUGCAAGUCCAUAGCUAGUCUUUAGCUGCCUUCUUGUCAUUUACUGUAUACCUCUGUGUUUGACCUAAUAUCUUUGUGACUAGUAGGUGAACACUUCGAAGUGCACAAACAGAUCCCAAACAGCCAAAAGGCUAAGAAGGCAGUCAGAUAGUUUCUGAGGCCUACAGCAGAGACACCCCCACUUUGUUGAAACCGACUUACCUGAUGUUUCCACAAAUGUAUUUCAAAAGCGUCUUUACUUAUGACUUCCUUUGUCAUACUGCUAUAAAAACUUCAGUAAACCAUUACCAUGGUAGAACAUGGCAUUUGGGGAAAACCUGAUGGUGUUCCAGGGCCAUGGUCACUCACGCUUUGCUCUAGAAUAAACCAUCUCGGUGAAAGCUGGGUUUUUGCAUUGUCAAGAGGAAGGCAGGGAUCGUGUGGCAGGGUGGUGGGACCAAGGAAAGAGAAACAUCAGGUUAACCUGUGAAGAAAACCACUUGUAGAAAGACUGGAGACCCGUCCACCAGGGCUUUGGUUAUAAAACAGAGCAUACACACAAAACCCCUGGUGCUCCAAAUUCAGGAGAAGGCAGGUGCUGGGGAAAGAACCCAAAAGCCUCAUGCUAUCUGAUGCUUUUGAACCUUUGACCUGGCCAACCUUGUGGAGGGCCGCAACCACAUUCUCCAUUACAAGAUGGCGCUGGCAUCCGGCCUUACCGCCUGGUGAACAAGAUAACGCACAUGUGCUUGGUAACUUUCCACUGCUGUCCCUGCCUACUCCUGAGGCAUCAUCUGGGUUGAUGGGCAGCGGACCAAUCCAAGAGUGAC